UCCCUGAUGGCUCAGAGGUUAAAGCGUCUGCCUCCAAUGCCGGGAGACCCAGGUUCGAUCCCUGGGUUGGGAU
rnacentral:tRNA from 1 species